rnacentral:lncRNA from 1 species
CGUCCUCUUCCUUCUCUUCUUGUUCAAAUUGCAGAGAAGCAACAAGAGGAAUCUCCCGCCGAGCCCACCUUCACUCCCAAUCAUCGGCCACCUCCUUAUUAAAGUGCCAGUCCAUCGGACCCUCCAGUCUCUCUCCGAUCGCUAUGGCCCGUCCUCUCCCUCUCCUCCGACUCCGGCUCCGUGGUUGUGAUAUCCUCCCCAUCCACGGCCAGCGCAACACCACCA